rnacentral:misc_RNA from 1 species
GAAAUGCGAUAAGUAAUGUGAAUUGCAGAAUUCAGUGAAUCAUCGAAUCUUUGAACGCACCUUGCGCUUCUUGGUAUUCCUUGGAGCAUGCCUGUUUGAGUAUCAUGAAAUCUUCAAAGUAAAUCUUUUGUUAACUCAAUUGGUUUCUACUUUGGUAUUGGAGGUCUUUGCAGCUUCACACCUGCUCCUCUUUGUUCAUUAGCUGGAUCUCAGUGUUAUGCUCGGUCCCACUCGGCGUGAUAAGUUAUCUAUCGCUGAGGACACUGUAAAAGGUGGCCAAGGUAAAUGCAGAUGAACCGCUUCUAAUAGUCCAUUGACUUGGACAAUACUUUUAUGAUCUGAUCUCAAAUCAGGUAGGACUACCCGCUGAACUUAAGC